rnacentral:pre_miRNA from 1 species
UUUUUUAAUUUUCAUUCAUUUUUACUGUUAAAAACUUGUGUGGUUGACAGAAUAACCAAAUAGUUACAAGUGGAGUGCUACUAUUAUCUCAUUUUGACAUACAAAUAUUAGUUUUUAACAUUAAAAAUGGAUAGAAUUUUAACA